CACGUAGGGCGCAAGCGUUGUCCGGAAUUAUUGGGCGUAAAGAGCUCGUAGGCGGUUUGUCGCGUCUGCUGUGAAAACUCAGGGCUUAACCCUGAGCCUGCAGUGGGUAUGGGCAGACUAGAGUGUGGUAGGGGAGAUCGGAAUUCCUGGUGUAGCGGUGGAAUGCGCAGAUAUCAGGAGGAACACCGGUGGCGAAAGCAGGUAUCUGGGCCAAUCACUGACGCUGAGCUGCGAAAGCUAGGGGAGCAAACAGGA
rnacentral:rRNA from 1 species